AACGAACGCUGGCGGCGUGCCUAACACAUGCAAGUCGAGCGCGAAAGUUCCUUCGGGAGCGAGUAGAGCGGCGGACGGGUGAGUAAUACGUGGGUAAUCUGCCCCCGAGCUCGGGAUAACACCGCGAAAGCGGUGCUAAUACCGGAUAAGACCACAUCACCCAGGUGGUGUGGUAAAAGGUGGCUUUAUUUUCGGAUGAGGCUAUCACUUGAGGAUGAGCCCAUGGCCUAUCAGCUUGUUGGUGAGGUAAAAGCUCACCAAGGCAAUGACGGGUAGCUGGUCUAAGAGGACGACUAGCCACACUGGGACUGAGACACGGCCCAGACUCCUACGGGAGGCAGCAGUGGGGAAUAUUGGGCAAUGGGCGAAAGCCUGACCCAGCGACGCCGUGUGGGCGAUGAAGGCCUUCGGUUGUAAAGCCCUGUGAGGUGGAAAGAAGGGUACCGAGAGGUUAAGUACCCUUUAGGUACCUUGUACGGUACCGACCACGAGGAAGACACCGGCGUAACUACCGUCGCC
rnacentral:rRNA from 1 species